AUGGGGAACGCGAGCGCCAGGGCGGUGGAGAACGGCCACGCGGCGGCGCCGAUGGAGCAGGUGGCCGUGGCCCCCGUCGGCGGGAGCUCCGCGGAGGCCGCGGCGCCGCCGGACGCCGUGAUGCGGGAGCUCCCUCCUCCGGUCCCCUACGUCUUCGCGCCGCAGGUUCCAGUAGCUCCGCUGCAGAUACCAAAUGAAUUUUCACCUGUUUUCAACCAUUCAUGGAUGAAUGGCUCGGAUGAAUCCACCAACAAUAACCCCCCGGAGAUUGAAAUUCCAACUUUGAUUACAUGGAGUCAAGGAGGAAACGAGGUGUUUGUGGAAGGAUCAUGGGAUAACUGGACAUCAAGGAAGGUGUUAGAGAGGUCAGGGAAAGAUCACGCUGUGUUGUUAGUUCUGCCAUCUGGAAUAUAUCAUUACAGGAUGAUUGUUGAUGGGGUGCCGAGAUAUGUGUCCGAACUACCUCAUGUGACUGAUGAAAGAGGGCAGGUGGCCAACCUCCUUGAUGUCCAUGAGUAUAUCCCAGAUAGUCUUGACAGCGUGGCGGAGUUUGACGCGCCCCCGUCGCCUGAACACAGCUACAACAUGGAGUUCCCAACCGACGAGGAGCUUACCAAGCAGGAUCCGCCCGCUCUUCCACCUCAGCUUCUCAUGACUGCCCUUGGCGGUACCGAUCACUCGGACGAGCUCGCUCCGAAGGCGAAGCCGCAGCAUGUCGUCCUCAACCAUCUGUUCAUCGAGAAAGGGUGGGGGGCGCAGUCUCUGCUCGCCCUCGGACUCACUCACCGGUUCCAGUCUAAGUACGUGAACUUCGUGCUGUACAAACCGCUGGUGAGGAGGUGA
rnacentral:rRNA from 1 species